rnacentral:lncRNA from 1 species
CCAUAAAUUGUAAAACUCACAUUUUGGUCCCCUUGGUUUUCCUCCGUCAGUCAAAUUGAUCCCCUCCGUUAGUUUUUUAAUGAUUAAAAUUUUUUAUAUGAUAUUAGCCGUUUGAUUGCAUGUCCAUUAUACCUAUAGUGAGCCGUCGGCACCUAAUUUUUCCAGCACUAUCAUCUUCUCUCUUCUUCUCCCUCACUCUUGUUCAUCAUCAAAUAUUCAUACAUUCAUCACAAUUCAAAACAACCUAGAAAAAAGAAGAAUUUAAACCCAAAAAAUUAAUAAAACUUGGAAACACACAGAUCUAUUUUUUUUCUUCAGAUUCUCGAAAUACACCACAACAACAAUCUGUUCCCAUUUCUCCAUCAAUCUGAGCUUUCUUCAAAUCAAAUCCAAAUCUAUUUCACAAAAACAAUCCAGCAAAACAAAACACA